rnacentral:rRNA from 1 species
GGAUUAGAUACCCUAUUAUUGUAAUUUUUAAAUUAUUAAACUUAGGUAAUAUUAGUUAUGAUCUUGAAACUUAAAUAAUUUGGCGGUAUUUUAGUCUAUUUAGAGGAAUUUGUCCCGUUAUCGAUAAUCCGCGCUGAACCUAACUUUAAUUUUUUUUGAAUAUGUAUACCGCCGUUUGGAAAAUCUUUUUAGAAUUUAAUUUCUUUAUAUUUUAUUAAAUUAUAUUUCAGGUCAAGGUGCAGUUUAUAUUAAAAGUGGAGAUGAAUUACAAUAUAUAAAAUGUAAUAUGAAUUAUAAGUUGAAAUUAUUAUAUGAAGGUGGAUUUAAUAGUAAUAUUAUAAAGAUUAAUAGUAUGAUUAAUUUAGCUCUAAAAUAUGUACAUAUCGCCCGUCACUCUCGUUUUAAUAUGAGAUAAGUC